rnacentral:lncRNA from 1 species
CCAGUGCGGGCCGUAGGGCGCGAAGGCGAAGCCGGCCGAGUCGUAGGCGAGGUGCCGCGUGACCGCCGUGAGCGGGCGCUCCGGGAUGCUGCCCUCGAACUUGAGGACGUCGCGGGCGACGUCGGCGGAGCCGAUGACGACACAGUGGGUGGAGGGGCCGAGGCGGAGGUACACGAGCGGGCCGUAGCGGUUGAUGAUGCGGUCGAACGCGCGGUGGGGGGGCGGGCGGAUGAGGUGGAGGUGGCCGAUGAAGGGGAGCGCCAUGGGGCCCGGGGGGAGGCGGCCGUGCUUGCCGCCAUGUCUGACCAGCGUGAGGAGGAAGAAGGCCACGGCGGCGAGGAGCGAGGCCACAAGCAGUGGCGCUGCACUGUCCGAGACCACUCCGAAUUGCUCCAUGAUGCCUCCUCUUCUGACUUUUUCCUCUUCUG